rnacentral:rRNA from 1 species
AUUGAACGCUGGCGGCAGGCCUAACACAUGCAAAUCGAGCGGAUGAAGGGAGCUUGCUCCUGGAUUCAGCGGCGGACGGGUGAGUAAUGCCUAGGAAUCUGCCUGGUAGUGGGGGAUAACGUCCGGAAACGGGCGCUAAUACCGCAUACGUCCUGAGGGAGAAAGUGGGGGAUCUUCGGACCUCACGCUAUCAGAUGAGCCUAGGUCGGAUUAGCUAGUUGGUGGGGUAAAGGCCUACCAAGGCGACGAUCCGUAACUGGUCUGAGAGGAUGAUCAGUCACACUGGAACUGAGACACGGUCCAGACUCCUACGGGAGGCAGCAGUGGGGAAUAUUGGACAAUGGGCGAAAGCCUGAUCCAGCCAUGCCGCGUGUGUGAAGAAGGUCUUCGGAUUGUAAAGCACUUUAAGUUGGGAGGAAGGGCAGUAAGUUAAUACCUUGCUGUUUUGGCGUUACCAACAGAAUAAGCACCGGCUAACUUCGUG